GGAAAGAUGAAAAGAACUUUGAAAAGAGAGUUAAACAGUACGUGAAAUUGUUGAAAGGGAAACGAUUGAAGUCAGUCAUACCAACGGGAAAUCAACCUUUUGAGCUUGGUCUCGUGGGUUUUGAAGAGUUUCAAAGCCUUCGGAUUCGCGGGAUUGGGAUCUCUUGGUGUACUUUUUCGUACGGUUAGUCAACAUCGGUUUUGAAUGUCAUAAAAUGACUGGAGGAAUGUAGCUUCGAUCUCGUAUUGAAGUGUUAUAGCCUUUGGUAGAUGUGAUGUUUGAGACCGAGGAUUGCAACGGAUACCCUUCAGGGCUAUUCGUCUGAUCUCUGAUACGUUGCCUUGAUGUUGAAAGCUUGCUUAUGAUGUUAGGGUAUUACGGUCAAAAGGUUAGAACGAAUUACAUUCGUUAAGGAUGUUGACGUAAUGACUUUAAACGACCCGUCUUGAAACACGGACCA
rnacentral:rRNA from 1 species